UAGUCUGAGGUGUGUCUCGGACGGUCGGUUCGCCGCUUGUCGGUGCUCAACUGGCCGGUCCGGACGUCCUGCCGGUGGGGCUGUAAAAGGCUCCGUUAUCCUUCUUUGGUCCUCUUCAUUGAGUGCCUUGGUGGGCCGGCACGUUUACUUUGAACAAAUUAGAGUGCUCAAAGCAGGCCGUUGGUCGCCUGAAUACUGUGUGCAUGGAAUAAUGGAAUAGGACCUCGGUUCCAUUUUGUUGGUUUUCAGAACUCGAGGUAAUGAUUAAUAGGUACGGACGGGGGCAUUCGUAUUGCGACGUUAGAGGUGAAAUUCUUGGAUCGUCGCAAGACGAACCGAUGCGAAAGCAUUUGCCAAGAACGUUUUCGUUGAUCAAGAACGAAAGUUAGAGGUUCGAAGGCGAUCAGAUACCGCCCUAGUUCUAACCAUAAACGAUGCCAGCUAGCCAUCCGCCGAAGUUCCUUAUAUGACUCGGCGGGCAGCUUCCGGGAAACCAAAGCUCUUGGGUUCCGGGGGAAGUAU
rnacentral:rRNA from 1 species